rnacentral:lncRNA from 1 species
AACCUUCCUUAUCACCAGCUUGAAGAGUGUUUACGUCAGGUCGCCACUCAGUUUUUUACUCGUUUUUGGUGUUUUUACAGCUAAAAUGAGCGGUUAAACGUACUGCCUUUUAGUAUUUUAUAUGCUUUAGCCUUAUUGACCAUGUAUUAAUUUCACCUUCUCUACUUAUCACCAGCUUGAAGAGUGUUUACGUCAGGUCGCCACUCAGUUUUUCACUCGUUUUUGUGUGUUUCUGCAGCUCAAAAUGAGCUGUUAAAGGUACUGCCUCUUAGUUUUUUAUGCUUUAGCCUUAUUGACCCAUGUGUUAAGUUCUCCUUCUCUAUUUAUCACCAUGUUUGCCUGUUUGAGUGGUUUUGAAAAAGCGACUAGUGAAAGUCUCCCCGAAAUCGAGAGCUUCACUUUGGCUGAAUUUUUGAAGAAAGUCGACGUCAGCACCAAAACCCUUAGAUCAAUGCGACCCACCUACUCGGAUAACGCGAUCGGCUAUGUGCAGCUGAAGCGGGAGGGCACGCUUUGUCAUGUCAUUGCUCGGAUAACGCCGGAGCAUAAAAUCCAAAAAGGGGCUUACAGAGUUCAUUGCGAGGUUGAUGAAGGUCCAAAGUAUGCAACUAUCAAGGCAGCUUACUGCGAGGAUUGCGCAGCUUCUCAAGGAGGAAAUUGCAAACAUGCAAUAGCAUUUGUAACUUGGUUACACCGAAGAAGUGAGGAGCCGUCAGUAACUGAAACGAAGUGUUAUUGGAAAAAUCAAAGCUUUCCAAAGAUGGGGCAAGCUGUAUGA